CUACGGGACGCUGCAGUGAGGAAUAUUGCGCAAUGGGGGAAACCCUGACGCAGCGACGCCGCGUGGAUGAUGAAGGCCUUCGGGUCGUAAAAUCCUGUCAGAAGGAAAGAAGUAUAUGGUAGCUAAUAUCUGCCAUAUUUGACGGUACCAUCAAAGGAAGCACCGGCUAACUCCGUGCCAGCAGCCGCGGUAAUACGGAGGGUGCAAGCGUUGUUCGGAAUUACUGGGCGUAAAGCGCGCGUAGGCGGCUGUUUAAGUCAGAUGUGAAAGCCCAUGGCUUAACCAUGGACGUGCAUUUGAUACUGGGCAGCUUGAGUACUGGAGGGGGUGGUGGAAUUCCCGGUGUAGAGGUGAAAUUCGUAGAUAUCGGGAGGAAUACCGGUGGCGAAGGCGACCACCUGGCCAGAUACUGACGCUGAGGUGCGAAAGCGUGGGGAGCAAACAGGAUUAGGUACCCUAGUAGUC
rnacentral:rRNA from 1 species